GACGAACGCUGGCGGCGUGCCUAAUACAUGCAAGUUGAGCGAUGAAGAUUGGUGCUUGCACCAAUUUGAAGAGCAGCGAACGGGUGGGUAACGCGUGGGGAAUCUGCCUUUGAGCGGGGGACAACAUUUGGAAACGAAUGCUAAUACCGCAUAACAACUUUAAACAUAAGUUUUAAGUUUGAAAGAUGCAAUUGCAUCACUCAAAGAUGAUCCCGCGUUGUAUUAGCUAGUUGGUGGGGUAAAGGCUCACCAAGGCGAUGAUACAUAGCCGACCUGAGAGGGUGAUCGGCCACAUUGGGACUGAGACACGGCCCAAACUCCUACGGGAGGCAGCAGUAGGGAAUCUUCGGCAAUGGACGAAAGUCUGACCGAGCAACGCCGCGUGAGUGAAGAAGGUUUUCGGAUCGUAAAACUCUGUUGGUAGAGAAGAACGUUGGUGAGAGUGGAAAGCUCAUCAAGUGACGGUAACUACCCAGAAAGGGACGGCUAACUACGUG
rnacentral:rRNA from 1 species